AAAAAGACAAACCCUGCUUUCCGUGUCCAACGUUUGACUGUCCGUUUUAUUUGAAAAAAAUUAAAAAGACAAGUCACGUAUAAAAUAUUAAUCAUGUUUUAUCAUCUAACAACAAUGAAAAUACGAAUUAUAAAAAAAUUUCAUAUAAGACAGACAGUUAAAGUUAGACACGGAAAUCUAGGGUUUGCUUCUU
rnacentral:pre_miRNA from 1 species